GGCGAUUUCUCUUUCAAGGAGGCCUGGUUCCAUCUCUCCGACGAGUACCCGAUUGUGCACGAAUCCGAGCGGCUGCCGCCUCCGAUUGUUGCCGAUCUGAAUGGGGACGGGAAGAGCGAGGUUCUGGUGGCGACACACGACGCUAAGAUUCAGGUUCUGGUGCCUCACAGUAGACGUGUAGAUGAAGGAUUCUCAGAGGCACGAGUGCUAGCUGAGGUGUCGUUGCUGCCUGAUAAGAUACGCAUAUCCUCUGGGAGACGUGCUGUUGCUAUGGCCACAGGUUUUGUCGAUCGUUCUUACAAAGCCGGAGAUAUAAGAAAACAAGUGUUAGUGGUUGUCACAUCAGGCUGGUCUGUUAUGUGUUUUGACCAUAAUCUCAAAAAGCUCUGGGAGAAUAACCUACAAGAGGAUUUUCCACAUGGUGCUCAUCAUAAGGAGGUGGCAAUUUCAAUAAGCAACUAUACGCUGAAGCAUGGAGAUGCUGGUUUGAUUAUUGUAGGGGGGAGGAUGGAAAUGCAACAUCAUAGCUCCAUGGAUCUAUUCGAGGAAACUUUAAUUUCAGAGAACAGUGGCGAACCAAACCGGAGAAGUGCUAAUGAGAAAGAGGGUUCUGCAAACAGCGCAACUGUAGAUCUGCGACAUUUUGCUUUUUAUGCUUUUGCUGGCCGCAGUGGCUCACUUAGAUGGAGCAGAAAGAAUGAAAAUAUCCAGGUUCAAUCCUCGGACGCAUCACAGAUGAUUCCUCAACAUAAUUACAAGCUUGAUGCUCAUGCUUUAAAUAGCCGUCAUCCUGGAGAGUUUGAAUGCAGAGAAUUUAGAGAAUCAAUUCUUGGAGUGAUGCCUCAUCAUUGGGAUAGGAGAGAAGAUACAUCUUUUGAGCUAUCACACUUCAGAAGGCACAAACGCAAAACUUUGAAGAAAAUGCCUGGGAAAGUUAUGACAAGCGUUUACCAUAAACCCGUGGAAAACAAUCCCCCUGGGAAAGAUUCAUCGAAUAAAAUUGCAAGUUUAAUUGAUAAAGCUGCAAAUUUGGCUGGUUCAACAAAAUCUAGGAAGAAGUACCAUUAUAUUCCUAC
rnacentral:misc_RNA from 1 species